GCGACAACUCUGAACAACUUACCUUCGAACCUCCGCGCACAGACAGGCCAGGCCCCAGGGUGGUCCUGCUCUCUCUCCUCCUGUGUCUCCACCUUCGGUGGCUCCCGGCCUCCCUCCUCCCUGCCCGGGCCCAGGUUAGGGGAAAACAGCAUUCUCUGUGGAGUGUUGGUACCAGGACACUUUGAAAAGGCUGUCUGUGUUUGGAGAUGAGGACAGCAAAGAGAGGAAGAGCGUCAUGGGAGAAACAAGAGAAUGCUUCCACUUCUCUUCGGUGCCCAUAAACGGACUGGGGAAGCCUGGAAGAUGCUUCUCUGAGGUGCUACCUUUGGGACACAACCCGUCAGGAAGAACAAGGGGCAUCUUUUUUUCCAUUUCUUCCACCAGCUGUUUCCCAGAUGUGAGGCCUAAGGGCUCCGAGGGAUGAGCCCAAGCGCUAUAGUGUGACUUUUAAUUGCUCUUGGCUGGGCCUUCCUCCUGCCUCCAUUUAUCCUGAGCAGAAAGGCAGGCACCUGGGAGAAUGAUUUAACAUUUCCUACCUCAGGGCCUCCUGAAAAGCAGCCUGCGGAUGUAAACUGUUCAGAGAGAGUGUCCUCAGUACGAGAAAAUUCUAUGUGAACAUGCCUGAGGCAGUCACAGGGAAGUACAGAUUUCAGGGAAAGUGUCACAGAGUCUGGAAAUGAACACCUCUGGCCCCCAGGAGACCCCACUGGUGUUUUCAGGCUAACACACACAUGCUUUUAGCCACCAUCACAGGAGAAGAACUCUUCACUGAGGACCUGCCAUACACUACCUGUUAGUGCAUUCAGUCCCCCAAACAGUCCUGUGUACUGUCAUUCCCACUUUAUCUGGGAGGACUCUGAAGCUCAGAGACACUGAGUAACUUCUCCAAGGUCACACAGCUAGUCUGUGGAGAAGGAAUCCAGAACCGUCUCACUUCCAGAUGGAUGUUACUUCCCCUCCCUUCGUUACCUUGUUGUAGUCUGUUCCUUCCUACAUGCUUGGGUGGAACAUGGGUGACUUGCUUUCUUUGCACAAUUCUUGACAACGCUUAAGAGGGAAAAAAAGGUAUAGGCAAUAAAAGGGUGGGGCUGAGACCGUGCCAGUUCCCCUGGUACUGUGUUUAUAGGGUGAUGGCUGCUGUGUAAAUAAUGGAUGGCGUAACCAAGAUGUGGGUCAGCCCUCUGCCUCUGGUUAAAAGUCUAGGAGGCGAGGACUCUUGUUUGCCACAUUCUUGAGUUGCUCAGUGUUCUUGCAAGAGGCAUAAUUAGAUAAAGGUCAGCUCUCUCCAUCUCCAUAAACAAAACAAAACAAAACCAUUUGGACCUAAAGCUCAGACUCUCCAUUCCACAUCAUUAAACUAUGAAAAGAAAGGAAGAGAAAGGAAGGGAUUCAUUCCUUGGACAGACUGGAUUUUCCAUUUUUAAAUUCUAUGCUUUCAAGUGCUGAAAGCGCAGAGUGAAACUGUGACACACCACGAGGAAGAGAAGAAACUCCCAUCAUGCACUCCCCUGGGAAUGGUCCUUGUUCGAAGGGUCCCUGGCGCUCAAACACCAGUGGCAACUCUCUCCAGAACUUCUCAGUCGUGCAGCCCCUGCUGGGAUGGAGGCAGGAGAGAAGAAACACUCAGGCUCCCAGUGUCGAGCCCUGCCCUUCAGUUACUCCAGUCCCUCAAGCUUUGAAGCAAAAACUGUGGCGAUGCAGGCAGUUCCCAGCCGACUUGCCCCUAGACAAAGCUGAAGAGUCGCCGGUUGCUUCUUCUCCACUGCUUGGUGGGCAGCUUCUCGUCCAGAGGGGCUGCCAGACCCAGGCAGAUGCCAGAAGCCAUCACCGCCCUCCUCCUCCACUCCCCACUCAGCCCCUGGACCUGCUCCACUAGUGCGGGUGCCCCUUCCUUCGAGCACAGGAUCAAGAUGUGGAGGAGAGCCUGCGUGUCUUCAUGUCAGUGAGGGCAGGGCCUCAGGUCCAUGCCGGCCUUUUGAGUUCCCUGUGGAAACAGUCUUUGUCCCACUGGGCACUUUGCUCUUAUCUUAAGAUAAUGAAAAAGCAUGACAAGCAAGACCCCUCUGAAAGCUCACCAUGGCUCUCCUGGAAGGGUAAGCUGACUUGUUCUUCACCUUCCCCAGGAGACCCUUUCAAGAAACUGGACUGAGCUUGGUGUGGCUCAACCUAGUUUGGGUUGUUGAUGCCUACAGCAGAGGCUGAGAGUGAACCCCAGUAUCCAUUCUCUUCUUCUGCCAUAGUAAUAGAAUCUUUAGUUGGGCAAAUGGCCACCCAGAAUAAAGACUAUAUUACCCAGCCUUUCUGCAGGUAGGGAUGGUCGUGUGAACUAAGCUCUGAUUAAUGAGAUAUGAGAAGUGUCAUGCCCUUCAAGCAAAGGGGCAUGCCUUUCUCCUCUUCUUUCCCCUUCUCAUUGGCUUGACCAUGGAUUUAGUGGUGGGGGUGAGCUCUUGGGGACCAAGUGGUUGACAGCAACACUCCAAGGAUGGUGGAGCAACAACUUGGAAGGAAUCUGGGUCCCUGAUGACACCAGAACCUAUGUCCUAGGCAUGUAAUAUUCUACAAGACUUCUAUUUGACUUUGAAUUGAUCGCCUUAUUGGGAUUUUCCUGCUAUAAUUGCAUCUCAAACCCCCUUCCCCCACAAGAGCUUUAGGUAGGAGAUAGGUUUUCCCCGAAGAUUGUGAGCAUUUCCGUUACUAGCAAUCUUGAGACGAGCUCAACCAUAGGAAGGAUUUGAGGACUAGGACAAGCCUUAGACCAAAAUGGGAGAAUAAGAUCUUCCUCUCUUGGGGCCUCCUGGAUAGGGCCAGGACCCUAUAUAGAGGGCAUGUCCUCUGUGAGGAGGUGAGCUAGUCUAAGAGAAGAAGUUGUAGGCUGGGAUUCCCUGAAGAUGGGCUAGUUCCAAGCUGGAAACAGACAAGCAAAGGGGAGCCGGCCCCUGACUGGCACUGAGGCUGACAAGGAAGCUAAAGCCAUGAGACCUUGAUAACCCGUGAGACAACCUCUCUCUCUUUCUCUCUCUCUCUCUCUCUCUCUCUCUCUCUCUCUCUCUCACACACACACACACACACACACACACAGCAGAAACGUCAGCAUUCUGGGUUGCUCUCAGGCCCUUUGAGGGAGCUUAAUUUCUGGCAAUAGGUGGGGUUCAAGCCCUCACACUCUGACUAUUUUAAAGGAAAUAUUAACUGGCAUUUGGGCGGGAGGCAGAGGGAGGUCCAAGGCUAACGACACCUGAGAAGGAGGUAAUGUUUGUCUUCGACUCCUUGUCAUUAAUCACUUCCCUUCGUCGGCUCUGGGUGCCCUUCUUUCAGGGUACCAUCUUCCCAAGAGACUCCUCUCACAGAGGGGGUUGUUUCGCCUCCUCACUGGCUCCACCCCUCCAGGCCUUCCACUGCGACUGCCACCAGGUCCUUUGUUCCCCUUGACCCUUUCCUGCCCCAGAUCUGGCCAACUGUCCGCCGUCCGCAUGCUCUCUGCCUCCUCUGACACACUCCUGGGGCUGGUAAGGGAGACACACAGAAACGGAAACUGAUGCCAAUUGCCCAAGGCCACAAGGCUAGUAAGUGGUGCAGCUGGGACUUUACCCCAUGCAGUCUAACUCCAGGCUCUGGGCUCUGACCUAAACCGUCCAGACUUUAGAGAUCAUCUUACCCUUAACAAACAAAGAAAAUGACUCAAGUCCGUCUCCCACAUCCUGUGGGAAGUGCAGCAGCUUCCCCAACAUUUCCAAGAAUUUCUGGGUGGUAGUGGUUGAGUUAUAUUCUCUUGGUUAUUCCCACUUAAAUUCUUGAUCCCUUUAAGUUCUCUUUUUCCUCCAGCAUCUGCUGUCCUCUGUCCCCUUCCCUCACCCAGUGCAAGAGCACUGUCUCUCCCCCAUAUUCCCCAAAGCACACCUAAGCCAAAACUGUUCUUAAGGACUAGAAAUAUUUGGUGAUAGCAGAGCGUCACCACACCAUGGCAGAGUUCAGCAAAGACCUGCAAAUUCAAAAUGGGGCAUGACCAUUCUGCAGGUUCACUCCUACAUUUACAGGGAUGGGGCAGGAGGACAAACAGAGGCCCAGUUCUCACUCUCUCUCCCACGCUUUGCCUGACACCAGCUCCAUCCUGCCCAUGAGGGACCUCCUGUGUGAACACCCCAGCCCAUGUUUGAACUCUGUAGCACCCUCUUUGGGAAGAGGCCUGCAUAAGAUCAGGGAAUUCUGUGGUCCCAAAGGAGGGGAGAGGCUCAGUGUGGACACACCCAUUGGCCCCAUGCAGUGCUGGGCUGGCUAGCACAGGCUCCUGAGGGCCGAAUCAGCUCUUCCUAACUCCACUUUCACUGGCAUCACACUGGUAGCUUGAAAUCAGCUAUGGUGUGGUGAGAAUAUUUACACAAUGGGACCUGGCAAACAUUGCAAUCUACAAAUCAGGAUUUUUUUCCUAGAGAGCCUGUUUAUCAGUACAUCACUGGCCCACAGACACCUUGCCCUGCGCACAGGAGCAUAGCUGGAAAAAGGCCAGAUGGGAGCCCUCCAAGGCGGUGGUUCUCAGAUUUUGCUGCAUAUUCGAAUCACCUGAGAGCUCUUGUGGGGGGCUGUCAGUAUUUUAAGUUUCCUAGGUAAUUCCAAUGUACAGCCAAAGUUGCAGGCCAAUGCUCUAAAACAUCUCUUAUCAAAAUUUAGCGUCCAUAUAAAUUGUUUGGGGAUCUCUUCAAUGACAGAUCUGGCUUAGUAAGCCCAGACGAGCCCGGGAGUCUGCACUUCUAUCUCAGGUGAUACUGAUGCUGCUGUUCUGUGGACCACAGCUUGAGUAGCCAGGGUCUAAAGCACAGGACCCAAGGGUGGCACUGCUAUUCUGAGGAUCCUCAGCUUUGCCUGUCAAGGAGAAUUUCUCACUGGAGGUACUUUCUCCUUAAGCCCUGACCCCAGCCAUUUUUUGGAGCCUGUGCAGAUGGACGGCUUUCACCCUAUUCUGGGUAAUGGGACACCAGUCUCUCUUGGUGCUUGGGGAAAACCCCCAAAUUCCUGCUGUCUCAUUAUGCAGAUCACUUGAGUUCUCCUUCCAGACUGUGCUGGGAGGCUCACCGUUCGUAACCAAACAGGUGUUUUCCUAAACAAUCAAGCCAUUUUCCUUUGGCUUCCCCUGCACACCCAUCGCACACCUCCAGAAUUCAGACACACGCCUGCAGUGAUUUAUUUUUUGUAUCAAUUGCUUUCCUCUUUACAUGGCAAAGACUAAGGCUUAGUGAUAAGGGCCCUGAUGCGGGUAUAAACACCCGUGCAGAGCAGGCUAUGAGGCCUGGGAACAAGGCAGGAGGUGCAGAAGAGAGGCCGCACCGAGGAGCCCAGAGGGGAAUCCCUUAGUCACACAGGCUGCGUCCCCAGACCCUUAGCGAAGAGAAACACAGGACUUGUCUUGGAACCAGAAUGAUGGUGAGUCUUUCAGUUUGUUGUGUAAAAGUGUAACUAGAGACUGAUAAAACUACUCCUAAUUCUUCCCGCAGUGCAGGUUCGGUCACUUCAACAAAGCUGUUGUUGCUUAAAGCCUUGAUUAAAGAAACUCC